UGUAGUAGUUGACAUCUGUGCAUUUUAUGGAAAGGGCCAUGGAUUUUUUUUCUGUUUUUUGGUUACCUAUAAUUAAAUUGAUCAAAAUAAGCAUGUAUUUAAAAGCGCAAAAUGCACCUGCCAUAUGAAAACUGUAACCUGCAUAGCAGGUUUGAAUCAGGCCUUAGCGAAUGAAUGCCUAGAUAUCACAACAUUUACACCUGCCUUUGAGAGAUCAAAGACCUGAAACCGUGUGUGGGCCAGGUUUUGGUAGAUAAAAAAUGUGUCAAGUGAUUUUCACAUUUCCAGUGGGAUGUUUCCAGCGCACUCUUGCAACAGCGAACAAAUGCUGCAGCCUGUAGUGAAUAGUGGGUGUAUACUUUUUAUAUACAAAAAUAAAUUAAUCUCAUGAACACUAAAUACACAUAUUAAGUUAAAAAAAACGAUUUAGACAUGGGAAAAUUAAGGUAUACCAAGUUCAGGAAAGCAAACUCUAAAUUCGAAAUAAUUUCUUCAUAGGAUAUGGAUAUCAGAAUGUUUUUCAGCAAAAAAGGGGCAUCGGGAAAAGCUGAGCCUGAGUCUCAGGAAGAAGCCAGCUGGCUGUUUAAAGUUUGGUGGUCAUAGCGUACUCCACUGAGGAAACCAAGUUGGCGAAAUAUAUCGGGAUAUGACAUCUCACCUGACCACUGCUAUCAGAAUUGGGAACACCAGCGACCCAUGCAGUCUAUGACAUCUGUUUGAUUAAUUUGUUUUGUUUUUAUGUAAAUAUUUCUACUAUAUAUUCUGUACAUUAGUUACCUGAUAUAUUUUAAUAAAAAAAUUAAGUUUUA